CGCCCGGGGCGCGCCCCGGGCGGGGCGGGGGCACGGGGGGAACCGUCGACAGUCAGGCAACGAGCGAGACCCCUGCGUUUAGUUGCUACCAUUACUCUCUGGAGCAGUGGAGCGAAUUAGACGGACCGCCACAGUUAAUGUGGAGGAAGGAAGGGGCCACGGCAGGUCAGUAUGCCCCGAAACCCUAGGGCUACACGCGGGCUGCAAUGGUAUUGACAAUGUGUUCCGAAUCCGAAAGGAGGAGGCAAUCAUCAAACAAUAUCUCAGUUAUGACUGAGGGCUGUAACUCGCCCUCACGAAUAUGGAAUCCCUAGUAACCGCGCGUCACUACCGCGCGGUGAAUACGUCCCUGCUCCUAGCACGAAUUCGCCG
rnacentral:rRNA from 1 species